GGAUGUGAGGACCACCUGGCUGCAACAUCUGUCACUCCAUUGAUAGCCAGGGUUGAUUCAACUGAUCUGCCUAGCAAGGUGAGUGUCACUUUCCUCCUUCACCACUCAACAUAUGUCCCUCCCAACAUUUCAUCCUUCCUCAAAGAGGACAACCUUCCCCAAUAGAGGAGGACCAUUUGGUCAAGAGUAUAUAAGUAGCUGCACUCCCCUGCUAGAACCUCCAAGCUUUCAAGAAUGUCCAAAAUGCUGGGCACAGUGGUGCAUGCAUGUAAUCUCAGUAACU
rnacentral:snRNA from 1 species